rnacentral:rRNA from 1 species
UACGGAAGGCAGCAGUGGGGAAUAUUGCACAAUGGGCGAAAGCCUGAUGCAGCUAUGCCGCGUGUAUGAAGAAGGCCUUAGGGUUGUAAAGUACUUUCAUCGGGGAGGAAAAAACAAAACUAAUAAUUUUAUUUCUUGACGUUACCCGAAAAAGAAGCACCGGCUAACUCCGUGCCAGCAGCCGCGGUAAUACGGAGGGUGCUAGCGUUAAUCAGAAUUACUGGGCGUAAAAGAGCACGUAGGUGGUUUUUUUAAGUCAGAUGUGAAAUCCCUGGGCUUAACCUAGGAACUGCAUUUUGAAACUGAAAUACUAGAGUAUCGUAGAGGGAGGUAGAAUUCUAGGUGUAGCGGUGAAAUGCGUAGAUAUCUGGAGGAAUACCUGUGGCGAAAGCGGCCUCCUAAACGAAUACUGACACUGAGGUGCGAAAGCGUGGGGAGCAAAACAGGGAUUAGAUACC